rnacentral:rRNA from 1 species
GAUGCAGUGUACCCGCGGCAAGACGGAAAGACCCCGUGAACCUUUACUAUAGCUUGACACUGAACAUUGAGCCUUGAUGUGUAGGAUAGGUGGGAGGCUUUGAAGUGUGGACGCCAGUCUGCAUGGAGCCGACCUUGAAAUACCACCCUUUAAUGUUUGAUGUUCUAACGUGGACCCGUAAUCCGGGUUGCGGACAGUGUCUGGUGGGUAGUUUGACUGGGGCGGUCUCCUCCUAAAGAGUAACGGAGGAGCACGAAGGUUGGCUAAUCCUGGUCGGACAUCAGGAGGUUAGUGCAAUGGCAUAAGCCAGCUUGACUGCGAGCGUGACGGCGCGAGCAGGUGCGAAAGCAGGUCAUAGUGAUCCGGUGGUUCUGAAUGGAAGGGCCAUCGCUCAACGGAUAAAAGGUACUCCGGGGAUAACAGGCUGAUACCGCCCAAGAGUUCAUAUCGACGGCGGUGUUUGGCACCUCGAUGUCGGCUCAUCACAUCCUGGGGCUGAAGUAGGUCCCAAGGGUAUGGCUGUUCGCCAUUUAAAGUGGUACGCGAGCUGGGUUUAGAACGUCGUGAGACAGUUCGGUCCCUAUCUGCCGUGGGCGCUGGAGAACUGAGGGGGGCUGCUCCUAGUACGAGAGGACCGGAGUGGACGCAUCACUGGUGUUCGGGUUGUCAUGCCAAUGGCACUGCCCGGUAGCUAAAUGCGGAAGAGAUAAGUGCUGAAAGCAUCUAAGCACGAAACUUGCCCCGAGAUGAGUUCUCCCUGAGACUUAGAGUCUCCUGAAGGAACGUUGAAGACGACGACGUUGAUAGGCCGGGUGUGUAAGCGCAGCGAUGCGUUGAGCUAACCGGUACUAAUGAACCGUGAGGCUUAACCUU